UGGGGAAUAUUGGACAAUGGGCGCAAGCCUGAUCCAGCAAUGCCGCGUGUGUGAAGAAGGUCUUCGGAUUGUAAAGCACUUUCGGCGGGGACGAUGAUGACGGUACCCGCAGAAGAAGCCCCGGCUAACUUCGUGCCAGCAGCCGCGGUAAUACGAAGGGGGCUAGCGUUGCUCGGAAUGACUGGGCGUAAAGGGCGCGUAGGCGGUUUGAACAGUUGGGCGUGAAAUUCCAGGGCUUAACCUUGGGACUGCGUUCAAUACGUUUAGACUUGAGUUCGGAAGAGGGUCGUGGAAUUCCCAGUGUAGAGGUGAAAUUCGUAGAUAUUGGGAAGAACACCGGUGGCGAAGGCGGCGACCUGGUCCGAAACUGACGCUGAGGCGCGAAAGCGUGGGGAGCAAACAGGAUUAGAUACCCUGGUAGUCCACGCUGUAAACGAUGUGCGCUGGAUGUUGGGCGACCUAGUCGCUCAGUGUCGUAGCUAACGCGAUAAGCGCACCGCCUGGGGAGUACGGCCGCAAGGU
rnacentral:rRNA from 1 species